rnacentral:rRNA from 1 species
UACGAAGGGGGCUAGCGUUGCUCGGAAUCACUGGGCGUAAAGCGCACGUAGGCGGAUCUUUAAGUCAGGGGUGAAAUCCCGAGGCUCAACCUCGGAACUGCCUUUGAUACUGGGAAUCUCGAGUCCGGGAGAGGUGAGUGGAACUGCGAGUGUAGAGGUGAAAUUCGUAGAUAUUCGCAAGAACACCAGUGGCGAAGGCGGCUCACUGGCCCGAUACUGACGCUGAGGUGCGAAAGCGUGGGGAGCAAACAGGG